CGUCCACAUCAUGUUGAAACGCCGGCUUCUGUACGAUCACCGAAGUUAAGCAACAGCAAGCCUAUUUAGUACCUAGAUGGGUGACCGCUUUCGAAUAUCAGG